UCGCCACUCUCUCCCCAGCUGGCUUUGGGGAAACAGCCACCGGCCGUCAUCCGCCUUCUAGUUUUCAAACACAGAGCGGACCCGGCCCCGUCUGCCCAGGGGGGCCUUUCCGGCCGGCCGCGCCCCCACCCACUCGCCCAGCCGGCACACGCCGCACUCACGAAGCCAUUGUCCAUGAUCCGGCACAGGCUCUUGAGCGUCUCCAGGUCCUUGGUGAAGUGAAACUGUACCAGGCGCGAGUUCCGGAACAGCGGCACCAGUGUGGUCUGCGGGCAGGCCGGACGGCGCCGUGAGACAGGGCGCCCAGAACGGUCCGCAGCCACGCUGCCCAGCCUCGCCCCCGCUUCUGACCUCCACCGGGUCCACACCCGCCUAUCUUCACUUGCCGGACAAGCUGGCCACAGGGCCCUGGCGCGUGCUGUCCCUCCGUCUAGGAUGUUCUCCAGCCGGCAACUCCAGUGCCCCCUUCUCGGGGAAGCGCCCCGGCCACCCCAUGGUCUGCUGUCUGUCACAAAGGCCGAGUGCCUCCCAUCACACUCACCAGCAGCUGCUGUGGGAUGAGCUGCAUGUACAGCUUCCUUGGCCACUGCUCAGUCCUCCUGCGGGGCAAGGGGAUGGGGGUCAGGAAGCUGGGUCUUGGCAAGACGCUGCCUCCGCCCCCAGCCCGGCACUCACAGGAUCUCCCCUUGGUUCACGUAGACAUGCGACGGCAGCCACCUCUUGGACCGACUGUUGGGCUCAGGCCUGGGCUUUUGGGGAGAGGAAGAGGGGAGACAUCAGGAGGGGGGAGGCACCCCAGUCGGCGAAGACAUGCUGGUCUUCAGGUCGCCCAGGUCCCCCCAGGACUCACCUCUUGCCACUCCAUGACCCCGCUCCACGCCAGGAACUUGUUGUUGACGAUCUGAACUGGGCCCGCGACCCCACCGGGACCCACCGCCUGCAGGAACAGACAAGUGGGGCCGAUGCCUGGGAGUGCCCCAGGGAUGCUUCUGGGGAACCUCAGAGCUGUCCUCAAGACCCUCCCUGGCCCCCGUCUCCAGGCAGUCUGGCCACAGCCCCAGAGCUGGCCCGGCCCCUCAGCUGCUCACAGACCUUCCAUGGCUCCCCAGUGCCCCAGAACAAGUCUCAGAUGCUCAACCUGGGGUACAAAGCUCAUAGGGUCUGCCCCUAAGACCCAGACAACCCUACAAUUUGUCGCACAAACAGGAACACUACUCAUAAAUAAUCGGCAAGGGGUGAACCAGGACAGUCACCCUCCAGAGCCUUCCAGCCGCAUAGCAGCGCCCCCCCACAAGCCUGCCGCCCACCUCCAAGCCCUGCUGUGUGUAGGAGGCCCUCCUGUGAAGAACCGCCCCCCCCCCCCCCCAAGCCGCGCUGACAAGUCUGGGGCAGGGCUGGCCUGGGCUCCACCAGCACACCUGUUUGCGCGUGGUAAUGACCUGCCGGAUGGCGUUGACGAAGCCGCUCUGGUCGUAGGGGAUGAGGCCCAUGAAGAUCUUCUUCUUGGACGAGUACAGGAGCAUGAGCACGCGCACCUCGCAGGGGGAGAUGUCGUCACUGGACAGAAGUCCUCAAAGUCGCCCUGUGGCCUUCCGUGACGAGUGAGAGACCACAGCACAAGGCAAGAGCAUGUGAAUGUGUACUUGGGGGUCUCCCUCAGCUGGUCAAUCUGUGGUGAGGGCCUGGGACCCACCGCUGAGGCAGGAGGAUCCUGAGAGGGUGGCACCUCCCCCCCCCCCCCCACCGCGUCGCCCCCUCUCGAUGCCGCUUUGUCCCCAGAGUAGGGCCUGCCUCGGCCGAGCCGCCUCCAGGGAGGCACCGGGCGCAGCCCCAGCUCUACUCCCUCCUACGUGCGUGCCCCAGUGCAAAUCACUUCAUGUUCUGGACCUCAGUCUUCCCAUCUGUAAGAUGGCUUAACGACAGUCCCGCGGUCGCCGCCACAUAAACGUCUUUACGCGAGACGCCAAUGCCUCCUUGGCAUGACGUCAGAAAGGAGCGUCACAGGCCUCUCUACCUGGGCUGUCGGGACAAAGAGGCGGCUACCUCGGGGAAUACCCCUGACUUGUCCUGUCCCCCAGGGGCCACCUGCUCAGGGAACCUGUCCCCUGCCUCCCGGACCAAGGCGCGACCCGUCCGUCCUCCCAGAGCUACCAGUAGGACCAGGAGUGUGACCGGCCAGGUAGCACAGGGAGCGUGCUGGCGCGCUCCUCCCCUGUGGCCCUCGGCCCGUCGGCCAGGCAGACGGCAGGCCCUCAGCAAGUGGCGCGGAGGUCAGGGCCGGCCCAUCGGGCAAGAGACUGUGCCAAUCACGACCCCCGGUGUGUUCGGGCCCCAAGGGACGGGAAUCUACCUGGACACUGGGGGUCAUGGCCCGCCCACACAGUAGGCGGAAGGAGGCGCUUGGUCCCAGAGGGGACCCCAGAGCCGAGUCCUGUGGUGUCCCGAGCGGAGGAUCCGCUCUCCUCUCUUGCCACCCACCCCCCGCGAGCACCUGUCCCCUCCGGCACCAGACCCCUGUGGGGUGGGGGUGUUCACCGCCGAGAUCAGGGCCCGGAUGAGACGCUGGGGCCCAGACCGGAGGGGCUGCAGAGACCACGCCAGACUCACUCCCUGACAGCCCCAUGUCACAGUCACUCACCAGCCCACGCUGACCAGGUGUCGACCACACGUGCAGGCCGCCUCCUCCAACACCACACAAGUUCACUCCCGCUAACCGCCCUGAGGCGUCCCGCCGCCAGCCCCGCUUGCCGGAUGAGGGAACGGCCCCAGCACGGAGUAUCCCCCUGGCCCGGCUCACCCUCCCCGCAACCCCACGGCCAUCUUCAGUUGGGUCCCUGCCACGUGCCGUGUCCCCAACAGGCUCCUAGGUCCCAGGAGGGCCAGCUGGGGCCCUCCACUCACUCGCAUCCCUGGCGCCACCGCCCGCGUCCUCCGUGCUCUGCCUUCCCUGACACCCGCGUGUUCAGACACGGACCAAGACUCCUUCGGAGGGAGGCCUUGGGCCCCCGGCCUCCCGCCCAAGGGUCCCGCUCUACUCACGAAGCCGUUGCCCAUGACGCGGCACAGCCCCUUGAGGGAGUCGCAGUCUCUGUUGGUGAAGUGGAACUGCGCCAGCUGGGAGUUGCGGAACAGGGGGCCCAGGGUGGUCUGUGGGCGGCCAGGGGACAGCUGGGUCACCGCCAGGGGCGGGGUCCCCAGGAAAACAGGCCUGGGGAGGCCGGAGGUGGGUCUUACCAGCAGCUGCUGCGGGAUGAGCUGCAUAAUGAGCUUCUGCGGCCACUGGUCGGUCUCCCUGCGGUGGGGGAAGGGGGGGGAUGGCGACUCAGGGGAGCCCCGGCCACCCACCUACCCCCGCCCCCUGCCCGCCACUCACAGGUUCUCGCCCUGGUUCACGUAGGCCUGGCAGGGGAGGGCCCGCUUCAGCUUCGCCGUGGAGUCCGAGUAGGGUCUGCGCUUCUGGGGGCGGGGUGGGGGGGUCACCGGGCACAACCUGGGUGCGCGGGCCCGCCCCGCACACAGGGCCAGCCCCCCACCCCCACCCCCACCCCCAGGCUCGCGAGGGAACCCCGCGGCUCACCUCCUGCCACUCGAGGACGCCGCUCCAGGCCAGCAGCUUGUUGCUGAGCCGGUGCUCGCCCACAGCCAGGCCCCCGAGGGCGAGCCCAGGCGAGGAGGGCCCGAUGGGACCCAGGGCCCCAAAGACCCGAGCACCUUGCUGCGGCAGAGGGGAGGGGGGAAGCCGAGGCUGAAGGACCCGCAGGGGCAGCCUGUCCACCACACGCAACCCAGCGUUCAGACCCAAACCCCCUGCUCAGAAACUCCCGGGGCCACGUCCAAACCACUCGUCCCAGGAGUCAAACACCCCAAGUGGCUGACCUACAUAUCCUUUCCCUGCCACUACGAGCCCCUCCCCCCCGGCCACUUGUCACCUCAACACUGGUCUGCUCCCUGCUCCAGCUGUGCCCUUGGCCCGGAAUACCAUCCCUCCCCCUUCAGGAGAUGCCACUCACUCACCCUCCUGGCCCGAUCAAUUCUUGGUCCCUCUGUCCUGACCCAACUCAGAAGCCAGCGGUCCGAGGGUCCAGGCCUCCAUGAAGCCCCCACAAUGCACACACCAGUCUACACUGCAGCUGGCUGCCUGGCACAUGGGUUUGCCCCAACCCACCCACGCUGAAAACUCUUCCAAAGCCCCCCAUGGCCCUCAAGAGAAAGUCUGGACUCUCUCCUCUAGAUCCUGCCAAAAUUUCCGAGGUGGUCGCCAGCCCUCAUUCCCUCCCUUGCAGACCCCGGGGGGGGGGGGGGGGGAGGGGGGGGAGGGGAGGGCGGGGGGUGGAGAAGGGAAACCAAAGCACAGAGAACAGAACCAUCCAGGGAGGCAGAGAAACUUUUGGAAGAGGGAGCGUAAUAACAUCAAGAGGGGUUUCAGACACGACAUCUUGAGAGUGGUUGCAGAACACCCAGAGAACGUUCCAGCAACAAAGCCAAGGAAAGCUACACGUUCUACUCUUCACAGGGCACUCUCCCAGAUAUCUUUUUUUCCCCCUAAACCAAAGACAUCUCAAAGCAAACAAAGGAAAGGCUUUGGAACAGGCUGGCAGCAAGUACUCCCUACAAAUCUCACCGGUAAAUGCCUCCGGGCAGCAGAAAAAAUUACUAACGGGCGUUGUUCUUUUUCAUCUUAUAUUAGAGGGCACUUUCUGCAUUUCCUAUAAAGCACACAGAUGUUUUCUGUCCCAGAAAGACAGUAAAACUCGGAUUUUCCAGGAGCUUAAAAAAGCAAACAAAAAAACCUGAGCAAGCACGUCCUCCACCUGGACAGGUGAUUCUGGAACAUGGGCAAUGGUAGCGGAUCAGGAAGAAAACCAAAGAGAAUCUUGGCAUAAGAACAUGUUGGUGCGUGUUCAGAGCCGGGCUGGGUCUGAGAUGCAGGACGGGGGUUGAAGUCCCGGGUUUGGAGAUGCCACAGGUGGGGCAGACAACAUCGGAGAAUAUGUGCUUAAAGCCCACAGCUGAAGAGCCUUCGGAGGGCCAGAUGAAUGCACUUUAGGAUCCGGUCAGUGUAAACUGGGAGAGCACGUGUUUGAAGUCUGCUUUGUCUGUGAGGGCCAGCUGACCACGUUAGGCUUAAAACAUGUUCUGGUCUAGAACGUAAAGACCGAGAAUUCCUAGCUAAAAACUCAGGUCUACCUGCAACAACAGGGUAGGUACGUCCAAGUGCACGACCACAAUUAAGGACGAGAGUUAAGUGCGGUCCUAAAGGAAAUCUCAUAUCGGGGCAGAUGUGUGCGUUUGACGUGUGAACUGUUUCCUGCACAGGGAAGCCUAUUUUGUACUUGGUAGAAUGAAAGCCUUAGGGUGCACAGUUUCAGGACCGGGAAGCGCUUUUGAACUAGAUGCAGAUGCUGAACACAUCCCUGUAAGACAGUGGAGCCGAGGGGUAUGUUUAAGUUUUGAGAGACGUUCAGAGUCUUCCUGUCUACGUUUAAGAUACGAAAAAACCUGUUUUAAGGCCUGCGUGGAGCUGCCACAGCUCCAUGCCACGCACAACGUCGGCGCAGGGUAUGAAAGAAGCGAACUCGAGAGCCAGCCUAGGGUAAAACGCACAUCUGGGCAAGCGUGAAACGCCGAGACGUGCAGGUUUACUAACAUUCCAGGUGCGCCUGAAGAUUUUUGAAAAGUAUGCGCUUAUUUUAGGUCUGGGGAAGCGUGUGCAGUUAACGUCCCGACAAAGCCAGAUGUUUACGUUUGGGCUUGUUGCACUCUGUAAGAGCAUCCCACAUCUGGGCGAGCGUGCAAAUCCCGGACGCACACGCCACGGGCGCCGUGCAGACGCGCGCGGGCCCGGGAAGGAACACCCCCCAGGUGCAACACCUGGGCGCGCGAGUGCAACACGCGGGCCCCCCUCGCCGCGGCCCCGCGGCCCCCUCCCCCAUUUCCAGAUUUCCUGCGCGGAGAGAGACCAACUUUCCAAUUGGAAAAACAAGCCUGCACGCCUGCCGUCGGCCCGCCCGCCCCCCACCCCGCGUUUAAAUCGGGACGCGGAGUCAGCAGUAAUUUGAGCCCUCCCCGCCCCCGUACCCCACCCCCGCCACCCCAGCCUAAACGCGCAACAAAGGGGAGAGCACGGCGCGUACCACCCGGGGGGGGUUCCACGGGGGAACCCGGCCCCAGCCGGGACCACCCUUCGGGUCAUCCUGAGACCCCACAGAAGAGGGGGCGGCGGACAAAGACCCGAGCCCGGGGGAGGGGCUGGCGGGGGCGGGGCCGUGGAAGGCUCUGGAAAAAAGGCGGGGGGCUCACCAUGGGAGGGGCCGAGCGGGCCCGGAUCCGCGGUGGCUGCGGGCCCCGGGGGCUGGCCGGCCAGGAGCGCGAGCGGGCGGCGCGCACCGUGAGGGGCCGUGGGGGGCGGCCGCGACCCCCGAGGGGGCCCCCGGCGCCGGAGCGGUGCGGAGCGCGGCGCGGACGGACCAUGGCGGGCGCGGGCCGAGCGGGCUGGGGGCUGCCACGGGCCGCACGGGGGGCUGCGGGCUCCACCGACUGAGGGGCGCGGGCGCGCGGCUUCGGGGGAGACGGGCUGGGCUGAACCAAGCGCGGGGGACGCGCCGCCGGAGAGGGGUCGCCGCGGCCAAACCACUGCGGCGAGCGGGGGAGCGCGGCGCGUACCAACCGCGUCCGCGAGGGGGCGUGGCCGGGCUGUACCAAAAUAGGGCUGGGGGAGCCUCAGGAAGCGGAGAGGGUGUGUGGGGCGGGGAACACGGCCAUUGGAAGAUGCUUUGGGCCUCUCGCGCUAGAGGGGGAGGAACUGGGAAGACGUGCGAGCAACAACUUCAGGGGGGUGUGGCGGGAGAGGCCAUACCGAAGGGUGGACGGGGGGUGAUAAGCGAAGACGACGAUACUAAGUUGGCUUCGGGCUGGGGGACAGGAUACCAAGAGACCCUACCCUUAGUCGCGGAGCCGGGAGACUACACCAAGAGACCUUAGGAAGAACAGGAAUAAGGGAGUAGUGGGCCUUGUGGCGAAGGAGCCUACCUAGAAGUUUGGGGAUACGGAUCGUACCUUGCACCAGGAGAGAACUUAAUGUUUGAAGGCAGUGACGUGGCUAGGUGGGCCGGAGACCACAAAUCCCAGCGUCCCCCGCGCGGCCUGCCUGGGCGGGGCCAGCGACCCCAGAGACGCCGCCAGUCCCUGCUGCGUGCCCAUUGGUCCCGGUGCCCUAAGGCUCUGCCUACCGCCCCAGGUACCUUCUCGGGCGUCUUGCCACUCGGGCCGUUCAUUGAUUCACUCUACACUCAGCUAUUACAGGACUGCGUAUUCACUUACUAGGAGUUGUGUAACAUUUUCUGCUUAAAUUUGUCUGUUUCUUAAAUGGUGGUAAUAGGUAACCGUGAAGAGGCUAUGAGGAUUAAAUGAGUUAAUAUAAGAUCACUACUCAGCCUAGUAACCACUUAAAUGUUAAAUCUUU